rnacentral:rRNA from 1 species
UAAGGAAUAUUGGUCAAUGGGCGGGAGCCUGAACCAGCCAAGUCGCGUGAAGGAAGAAGGAUCUAUGGUUCGUAAACUUCUUUUGCAGGGGAAUAAAGUGCGGGACGUGUCCUGUUUUGUAUGUACCCUGAGAAUAAGGAUCGGCUAACUCCGUGCCAGCAGCCGCGGUAAUACGGAGGAUCCGAGCGUUAUCCGGAUUUAUUGGGUUUAAAGGGUGCGUAGGUGGUUUGAUAAGUCAGCGGUGAAAGUUUGCAGCUUAACUGUAAAAAUGCCGUUGAAACUGUCGGACUUGAGUGUAAAUGAGGUAGGCGGAAUGCGUGGUGUAGCGGUGAAAUGCAUAGAUAUCACGCAGAACUCCGAUUGCGAAGGCAGCUUACUAAGCUACAACUGACACUGAAGCACGAAAGCGUGGGGAUCAAACA